rnacentral:rRNA from 1 species
CAGCCGCCACGGGAAAACGGAGGGUGCAAGCGUUAUCCGGAUUUAUUGGGUUUAAAGGGUCCGUAGGCGGAUCUGUAAGUCAGUGGUGAAAUCUCACAGCUUAACUGUGAAACUGCCAUUGAUACUGCAGGUCUUGAGUAAAUUUGAAGUGGCUGGAAUAAGUAGUGUAGCGGUGAAAUGCAUAGAUAUUACUUAGAACACCAAUUGCGAAGGCAGGUCACUAAGAUUUAACUGACGCUGAUGGACGAAAGCGUGGGGAGCGAACAGGAUUAGAUACCCCUGUAGUCCCUGUCUCUUAUAC